AGUGAACGCUGGCGGUAGGCCUAACACAUGCAAGUCGAACGGCAGCACAGUAAGAGCUUGCUCUUACGGGUGGCGAGUGGCGGACGGGUGAGGAAUACAUCGGAAUCUACUUUUUCGUGGGGGAUAACGUAGGGAAACUUACGCUAAUACCGCAUACGACCUACGGGUGAAAGCAGGGGAUCUUCGGACCUUGCGCGAGUGAAUGAGCCGAUGUCGGAUUAGCUAGUUGGCGGGGUAAAGGCCCACCAAGGCGACGAUCCGUAGCUGGUCUGAGAGGAUGAUCAGCCACACUGGACCUGAGACCCGGUCCAGCCUCCUACGGGAGGCAGCAGUGGGAAAUAUUGGCCAAUGGGCGCAAGCCUGAUCCAGCCAUACCGCGUGGGUGAAGAAGGCCUUCGGGUUGUAAAGCCCUUUUGUUGGGAAAGAAAAGCAGCAGGUUAAUACCCCGCUGUUCUGACGGUACCCAAAGAAUAAGCACCGGCUAACUUCGU
rnacentral:rRNA from 1 species